GCGAGUCGGAGUGGCGCAAGGGUGCGUAACACGUGGGUAAUUUGCCACGAAGAUCGGAAUAACCUGCUGAAAGGCGGGCUAAUGCCGAAUGUGUCUACCGGGGGGAUUCCUCUGGUAUGCAAAGUUGGGGACCGAAAGGCCUAACGCUUCGUGAUAAGCCCGCGGCCUAUCAGCUAGUUGGUGAGGUAACGGCUCACCAAGGCUAAGACGGGUAGCUGGUCUGAGAGGACGACCAGCCACACUGGAACUGAGACACGGUCCAGACACCUACGGGUGGCAGCAGUCGAGAAUUUUUCACAAUGGGCGAAAGCCUGAUGGAGCGACGCCGCGUGGGGGAUGAAGGGCUUCGGCUCGUAAACCCCUGUCAUUCGAGAACAAACCUCGCAACCUAACACGUUGCGGGCUGAUAGUAUCGGAAGAGGAAGGGACGGCUAACUCUGUGCCAGCAGCCGCGGUAAUACAGAGGUCCCAAGCGUUGUUCGGAUUUACUGGGCGCAAAGGGUGCGUAGGCGGUGAGGAAAGUUUGAGGUGAAAUCUCCAGGCUCAACUUGGAAAAUGCCUUGAAGACUUCCUUGCUUGAGGGUCGCAGAGGAGACUGGAAUUCUCGGUGUAGCAGUGAAAUGCGUAGAUAUCGAGAGGAACACCAGUGGCGACAGCGGGUCUCUGGGCGACACCUGACGCUGAGGCACGAAAAGCCAGGGGAGCAAACGGGAUUAGAUACCCCGGUAGUCCUGGCCCUAAACG
rnacentral:rRNA from 1 species